rnacentral:rRNA from 1 species
AGACCCGAAACCCGGUGAUCUAGCCAUGGGCAGGUUGAAGGUUGGGUAACACUAACUGGAGGACCGAACCGACUAAUGUUGAAAAAUUAGCGGAUGACCUGUGGCUGGGGGUGAAAGGCCAAUCAAACCGGGAGAUAGCUGGUUCUCCCCGAAAGCUAUUUAGGUAGCGCCUCGUGAAUUCAUCUCCGGGGGUAGAGCACUGUUUCGGCUAGGGGGCCAUCCCGGCUUACCAACCCGAUGCAAACUGCGAAUACCGGAGAAUGUUAUCACGGGAGACACACGGCGGGUGCUAACGUCCGUCGUGAAGAGGGAAACAACCCAGACCGCCAGCUAAGGUCCCAAAGUCAUGGUUAAGUGGGAAACGAUGUGGGAAGGCCCAGACAGCCAGGAUGUUGGCUUAGAAGCAGCCAUCAUUUAAAGAAAGCGUAAUAGCUCACUGGUCGAGUCGGCCUGCGCGGAAGAUGUAACGGGGCUAAACCAUGCACCGAAGCUGCGGCAGCGACACUGUGUGUUGUUGGGUAGGGGAGCGUUCUGUAAGCCUGUGAAGGUGUGUCGUGAGGCAUGCUGGAGGUAUCAGAAGUGCGAAUGCUGACAUAAGUAACGAUAAAGCGGGUGAAAAGCCCGCUCGCCGGAAGACCAAGGGUUCCUGUCCAACGUUAAUCGGGGCAGGGUGAGUCGACCCCUAAGGCGAGGCCGAAAGGCGUAGUCGAUGGGAAACGGGUUAAUAUUCCCGUACUUGGUGUUACUGCGAAGGGGGGACGGAGAAGGCUAUGUUGGCCGGGCGACGGUUGUCCCGGUUUAAGCGUGUAGGUGUGUGUUCCAGGUAAAUCCGGUUCACUUUAACACUGAGGCGUGACGACGAGGCACUACGGUGCUGAAGCAACAAAUGCCCUGCUUCCAGGAAAAGCCUCUAAGCAUCAGGUAACAUCAAAUCGUACCCCAAACCGACACAGGUGGUCAGGUAGAGAAUACCAAGGCGCUUGAGAGAACUCGGGUGAAGGAACUAGGCAAAAUGGUGCCGUAACUUCGGGAGAAGGCACGCUGACACGUAGGUGAAGUGAUUUACUCAUGGAGCUGAAGUCAGUCGAAGAUACCAGCUGGCUGCAACUGUUUAUUAAAAACACAGCACUGUGCAAACACGAAAGUGGACGUAUACGGUGUGACGCCUGCCCGGUGCCGGAAGGUUAAUUGAUGGGGUCAGCGCAAGCGAAGCUCCUGAUCGAAGCCCCGGUAAACGGCGGCCGUAACUAUAACGGUCCUAAGGUAGCGAAAUUCCUUGUCGGGUAAGUUCCGACCUGCACGAAUGGCGUAAUGAUGGCCAGGCUGUCUCCACCCGAGACUCAGUGAAAUUGAACUCGCUGUGAAGAUGCAGUGUACCCGCGGCAAGACGGAAAGACCCCGUGAACCUUUACUAUAGCUUGACACUGAACAUUGAGCCUUGAUGUGUAGGAUAGGUGGGAGGCUUUGAAGUGUGGACGCCAGUCUGCAUGGAGCCGACCUUGAAAUACCACCCUUUAAUGUUUGAUGUUCUAACGUGGACCCGUUACCCGGGUUGCGGACAGUGUCUGGUGGGUAGUUUGACUGGGGCGGUCUCCUCCUAAAGAGUAACGGAGGAGCACGAAGGUUGGCUAAUCCUGGUCGGACAUCAGGAGGUUAGUGCAAUGGCAUAAGCCAGCUUGACUGCGAGCGUGACGGCGCGAGCAGGUGCGAAAGCAGGUCAUAGUGAUCCGGUGGUUCUGAAUGGAAGGGCCAUCGCUCAACGGAUAAAAGGUACUCCGGGGAUAACAGGCUGAUACCGCCCAAGAGUUCAUAUCGACGGCGGUGUUUGGCACCUCGAUGUCGGCUCAUCACAUCCUGGGGCUGAAGUAGGUCCCAAGGGUAUGGCUGUUCGCCAUUUAAAGUGGUACGCGAGCUGGGUUUAGAACGUCGUGAGACAGUUCGGUCCCUAUCUGCCGUGGGCGCUGGAGAACUGAGGGGGGCUGCUCCUAGUACGAGAGGACCGGAGUGGACGCAUCACUGGUGUUCGGGUUGUCAUGCCAAUGGCACUGCCCGGUAGCUAAAUGCGGAAGAGAUAAGUGCUGAAAGCAUCUAAGCACGAAACUUGCCCCGAGAUGAGUUCUCCCUGAGACUUAGAGUCUCCUGAAG